GGCUGCCCAUAACACAGCAACAUUGUUCGUAUUUCAUAAAUUCAUAAAGGUACUCCUACAUACAGCAUUUCGCCCCUGUCAUUAUCGCAUCACAUCUAAUAAACUACUUCAUCUGAUACAUCGGCAUCAAGUAAUAUACUAACCAUGCACGUUACUAGUCACAGACGGUCUUCAAAUGUGGCGCCGAACCAAGUAAUAAAUCAAUGCUCUGAGGCCUUAUCGCUACUCGGUGGAUGUCGCUACGCGUAGGUGGUGCCGAUAUUGAUAUUACGCUAUGGAUGAUGUUACGAUUCGUAAUCGAGUUCGAAAUUUCGAUACAUCAAUUGAAAUGUGUACACCUUCAGGUAUCUUCAGGCACAGCUACUACAAAUGAAGUGAAGUUAUAACUGGAUCAGAAAAGUACAGUAGUAACUGGUGAUUAAAAUAAAGUGUCUAUUUUGAGUGUGUAAUAAAUUUUCGAACAUGAUUUUAUCAGGCCGUAUCCUUUCUGCUUUUAGCAGGUGUCAUAACUGAAAUGAUUUACAAACCUAAUAGGUGCCAACAAUAUAAAAAAGUAUUGCCAACUACAUAUAUAUCGCAUUGUCUCUGGCUUUAACAACACAUCUUUCUGACAUGCAAAGGCACAGAAAACUACAAGAGUAAUAAUUUUAAAUGUCAUGAAAGUAAUAACAAUAAAAACUAUUAAGGAAAAGUAUAUUUUAAACAGCCAUAAACUGCACAAAUUGAUGCCAAAACACAUUUAGAAGCAGAAAUGACUUUCUCUCAGGCUGACCCAGAUAUAUUUGGAAACCUUAAAUGCAAUAAAGAAACACCUAUUGAAGCCACUGAAGGAGAUGAAGAAGAUAAAGAAGAAGAAAUAUACUUAGAACAUGCUCCUACAGCAGCACAAAAACUGAGCACCAGACAGUAUGCAACUAUUAUCAAAGAUUUUAUCACCGUGAAGAAGGUAGCAGAUGCUACUGAUGUGCUUCAAACACGAAUGCUUAAACAGGAUCGUGUUAAACCAGAAAAUUUCAUCUACAAUCUUAUCAUUGGAGAGUGUGGUCGCUUAGGCUACACAAAAAAAGCAUUUCAGUUGUAUAAUCAGGCAUGGAGAAAAAUGUUAGAAAAAAGAGUACAUACAAUCUCUUGCUUCCAUCCAUAAGGACUGUGGCUUUGGGGAUAUUGAUGUUGCUCAGGAUGUUUUUCAUAGGAUCACUGAAGAAAACAGCAGCCAGGAAUAUAAGACACUGAAGAUUAAUUGUUGUGGGUGGUUGUUCUGGAUUCCUUGAACAAAUGAAUAAAGAUGGAGUGACAUCAUCCCAUCUACUAAAGCAGCAGAACACGCAACAGUUCGUAGGAGAUUCAAAGAUCCAAACUGCCCCUCGACAUUGUUGUCUUGGCUUUAGGCUGUCAAACUGAAGGGGAGGCUCAGUGUUUGAUGGAAGACAUGGGAAAUACAGGUUUCAGGUAUGAUAUCAGUAAGAAGAGAUCUAAUCAGAAAGUUCCAGUACUGUAUUUGCUUUAUGGAAGUGUGGAUGAUAUUAUGCAAGGGAAUGUGGUUGACAGCACUUGCUGACAUCAAAAUCCCUGGAGGGAAGGCAAUGCAUUAUUUUGUUUUUGAAAUGUAUGUGUAUUUAUGUUGCACUGCAGAAUGUAUUAUCAACAAGUGUGUAUCAAAUUCUAUAGAAUAUUAACAGCUGUACUUGUGAUAGAAGCCUUCAAUCAUUUGGAAAUAUUUAAAUUAGUUUUCUUAGAUUAUAGUGAUUAUAUUUGAAUACUAAAAUAUUUAGUUUCAUUUGCUGAUAUGCGUUCUGAUAAAUGAUGGAAUGGUUCAGGAUGAAUGUAGAAAUUUUGGGUGCGAUGCUGAGGCAGGGCUGUCAGUAUAAUUUUGAACAUAUAAUGGAGACGGCAAUAAGCGAGAAAGUCCGCCCAAAUGAAAAGUUCCUGGAAACAAAGAAUGUCUGCAGAAGAUAAGGAAGAAGGUAAAUCAUAUUAGUAAUAAAUGUUAGCACCAUGGUCUGCAGCCAGUAGCCUCCUCAUAUUUGACUUACAUCAGCAGACAGAAGGUCUCUGUCUGCAUUUCAAUUAAAGGAAAAUGAAAACACUUCAAAAUAAUGAUAAAAGAAUUUUUUUCUGACUGAGGAGAUGGAUAAUGCAUUUCAUGUAUGAAGUACACUGGUACCUGGCUGUUUUUGACAUUUAAUUAAAAACACUACAGUUGUAAAUAUAUUCCCUUUCAUAUCUGGAAUUUUUAUGUUUUGAGGUCAACAACUGCAGCAGAAUGUGGAAUAGCAGUGAUAGAAUGUAAGACUAGUACUUCCUUUGGAUGCUUUUGUAGAUGCAUAUAGACAAACUUAUUUUUAAAUCUAGUAACAUGAAAAUUUUCAUGGGGAAGAAAAAAUAAUAUUCCUCAUUACAAUAUCUACAUAAUAUUUACUGCCUUGAAAAAAAUUAAUAAUGAAGCCAGUAUGAGGGUUGAAACAGGAUUUUGGUUAAAGUAAGUCAAACGUGAAAAGUAUAUGAAAUUUUAAAGAUUUAUAUUUUCUGUGUAGUAGCUGUUUGCAAUAAUGUGUUAGAUAUUUUUUUAAUCUAAGUUAAGAAGAAGACAGUGACUAACAAUCCUAUGUUAACAGGAUACUGAACUGCCACAAAUGCGUAAAACUGCUGGUAGCUUUUGUACUCGACACACGUCAUGAUAGUUGAAAGAAAUUGUUCCUGAGAAAAUGGGCCAUCCUUGGGAGCAGUUUCAGAAAAAGCCACAAACUGACAAGAGUACAGAAAAAAAUAACAAUAAAAUCCAAAGGCAAAGCAGAAUAAGAAACAACUGAAUCUCUUUUCUUUGUGCUUACUAAAUAUACAUCAAUUCUGAAAAGUGAUAUACCGCAAUGGUAGUAACAUGCUGUCUAGAAAGUACUAUGCAAGUAUGAGAUUUAAAGGACAUUUUCUGAAGUGCAAUGUAUGGAUUAAAAACAUAAGUAAAAAUUAUAAAAUAAUUUUUUAGUACUAGGACAAACCACAUUUAUUUCAAACUAAAAUCGUAUUUACAUGCAUAACAUCGUGACCAGAAAUGAAGGAGAAAACUGUUUCAUUUCUAAUUAUCAACAAUAGCUGUCUUGAAUUGCCUUGAGUUGCCUUGUCUUGCCUUGCCUUGAAUUGCCUUGCCCUGCCCUGCCCAGCCCUGUUCUCCAUGACCUGUUAUGAACUGCCGAACUUUGCCCUGCCCCGCCUGAACCACCCUGCCCCGCCCUCCUCUGCUCUGACCCG